rnacentral:rRNA from 1 species
CACGUAGGGUGCGAGCGUUGUCCGGAAUUAUUGGGCGUAAAGAGCUCGUAGGCGGUGUGUCGCGUCGGCCGUGAAAACCUGCAGCUUAACUGUGGGCUUGCGGUCGAUACGGGCAUCACUGGAGUUCGGCAGGGGAGACUGGAAUUCCUGGUGUAGCGGUGAAAUGCGCAGAUAUCAGGAGGAACACCAGCGGCGAAGGCGGCGCUCUGGGCCGGUACUGACGCUGAGGAGCGAAAGCGUGGGGAGCAAACAGG